UACGGAGGGUGCGAGCGUUGUCCGGAAUCACUGGGCGUAAAGGGCGCGUAGGCGGCCAGCACAAGUCAGUUGUGAAAUCUCCGAGCUUAACUCGGAAAGGUCAACUGAUACUGUGCGGCUAGAGUGCGGAAGGGGCAACUGGAAUUCUUGGUGUAGCGGUGAAAUGCGUAGAUAUCAAGAGGAACACCUGCGGCGAAGGCGGGUUGCUGGGCCGACACGUGACGCUGAGGCGCGAAAGCUAGGGGAGCGAACGGG
rnacentral:rRNA from 1 species